rnacentral:tRNA from 2 species
ACAGUCGUGGCCAAGUGGUUAAGGUGAUGGACUUGAAAUCCAUUGCUGUCUCCCCGCACAGGUUCAAAUCCUGUUGACUGCA